GACGAACGCUGGCGGCGUGCUUAACACAUGCAAGUCGAACGGAAAGGCCUGCUUUCCCUUGUGGAUUGCGGGUGCUCGAGUGGCGAACGGGUGAGUAACACGUGAGUGAUCUGCCCCCAACUUGGGUAUAAGCCUGGGAAACUGGGUCUAAUUCCCGAUAGGACUGCAGGGUGGUGCCUGUGGUGGAAAACGAUUUUCUAGUGGUUGGGGAUGAGCUCGCGGCCUAUCAGCUUGUUGGUGGGGUAAUGGCCUACCAAGGCGGCGACGGGUAGCCGGCCUGAGAGGGUGGACGGCCACAUUGGGACUGAGAUACGGCCCAGACUCCUACGGGGGGCAGCAGUGGGGAAUAUUGCACAAUGGGCGGAAGCCUGAUGCAGCGACGCCGCGUGGGGGAUGACGGCCUUCGGGUUGUAAACUCCUUUCGACCGCGAGGAAGCCACCUGGUUGGAAGGGUGGUGACGGUAGUGGUAGAAGAAGCACCGGCUAACUACGUG
rnacentral:rRNA from 1 species